rnacentral:rRNA from 1 species
UGCGUAGGUGGUGAGUUAAGUCUGUCGUGAAAGCCCCGGGCUCAACCUGGGAAUGGCGAUGGAUACUGGCUCGCUAGAGUGCGGUAGAGGAGAGUGGAAUUCCCGGUGUAGCAGUGAAAUGCGUAGAGAUCGGGAGGAACAUCAGUUGCGAAGGCGGCUCUCUGGACCAGCACUGACACUGAGGCACGAAAAGCGUGGGGAGCAAACA